CGAUUUCUUCAGUUUGAUUUAAUUAAAAGAACAUUAUUUCGGACCUUUGCCCCCACCGCCUCUCCUUGAGACUCUGCAUCAGCGACGCUUCGUGACAUUAAGUGUAAGACUAACUGAGCCUUUCCAUAUCCAAUUUCCUUCCGAUUCACUUCUAUUGUUAAUCAAACAACUACUCCAACCCCACUCCAGCUACUGACGCUUCAAGACAAAACAAACACAGAUCACGCUGGUCGGAUAUGCACUGACUGUGAAUUGCUGCAGGACAGUGCUUGUGUUUUUAUGGCUUAAGGGGCACUACAGGGUGUCAUGGGAGUCUGAAAUGAGAAGUCGGGAGAAAAGCUUUCAACAAGACGUCUUACACAGAGUAAAUCCCUCGUGUGGAUUCUCAGAAAAUUGAAUCAGAGCCCACAUUUGUGGGUUAGCACUAUUGAAAUAUUUCUAAAGCAUUACACAUUUCUAGCAGCAUUUAUAAUGCAGACAGGCCAUAGUUGCACUUCUCUGAGGGGUGAGGUGGAGAACUACUUAAGGGAUCUAUGGGUUUUAAUGGGAUCCAUCACAUUCACAUCCUGGUUGUUUAUGUAAGUAACAGAACGGCCUUAAUCACAAUGGCAGCAUAACACUUUCUGUAACCGUGUAGCAGCAGAUGUUUAUAGUAUCUCCUCACUUCUACACAAGAGAACCAAAAAAAAAAAAAAAAAAAGUUUUAUUAUUCAGAUAAGGUGAAAGUUCUUUUGCCAACAAGAUAGUGGAGGGGGAAUGUAUAUUCACUGACAUAAUAUUACAAAUUUUAAAAACGCAAUGCAGAAAUGUAACAGGUAGGGUCAAUUGAAAGAAUCUGUACGUCUGCUGUAAUACUUUUUCAAUCACAUUUUUAUGGACACUGCAUAACUGGGUGAAACAAUUUAGUAGUUAAUUUUAGAUUUAGUAAUUUCCAUAUAUUAAGCUUCUCUGUUUAAGUAUCUUUAUGAUGUCUUAGCACUAUUACACAGUCUAGGUUGUCUUUGUCUCUUUUUUGUUCCUGACAAGUAAAUCCUUGAUCUGUUGGUGCCUGAUCUUUCAGUUUGUACAGAGUUAUAGCCUGUCAUCAGGAAAGAUGUGCAAUAUUGGCAGACUUGUGAAAUCAAAAGAUAAUUUGUGCUUCUGGGCCAUUGUAAAGUCUUGACUGAGCAGGUUUUGUCCUCUUAAAGCAAGCGUUCAAGACAAAUUCCCGUAGUGCGUAACAAACUCAUUUUAGUGUUGAGACAUUCAACAGCAGUUACAAAUAAGGUUUUUUGUGUGCAAUUUUUUUCUGCUUGAGGAAUAAAACUACGAAUGACAAUACACAGUACAAACAAAAUGUUGAAAUGGAUGGCUGAUGACUGUGAAUAAACCACUUAAUUUCCUAAACGUUUCAUUACAUGAUGAGGCACCUUUUGUAAGUCUCUGUGAUCAUUCCUAGUGGAAAGAAAAUGAGCAGCAUCUUAUGAAAUAAAAUCUUUA